rnacentral:rRNA from 1 species
UACGUAUGGAGCAAGCGUUAUCCGGAUUUAUUGGGUUUAAAGGGUGCGCAGGUUGUUUGAUAAGUCAGUGGUGAAAGUCUGUCGCUUAACGGUAGGAUUGCCAUUGAUACUGUUAGACUUGAAUAUGGAUGAGGUAGGCGGAAUGUGUAGUGUAGCGGUGAAAUGCAUAGAUAUUACACAGAACACCGAUUGCGAAGGCAGCUUACUAAUCCAUCAUUGACGCUGAGGCACGAAAGCGUGGGGAUCAAACA